ACCUUAAUAGCUUAAAGUACAGAGCAUAGCGCUGAAGAUGCUAAGGUAGCAAUAUUGCUUUAAGGUA
rnacentral:tRNA from 1 species